rnacentral:misc_RNA from 1 species
GACUACAGUAUCGUAUACACUCAUACUCGUACUGAAUGUACUAUAAACUGCAACAUUGGAGAGAGUCACUUGACGAGGUCAUUGUCGACAGUCGAAAGUACAACGCUACAGCAAGCUGCUCAAACACACAUCCGACACCCCUACAUCACGUCCUCUGUACACCCAAGAACUUUCGCAUCGCUUCGUGUCCCUUAUCCAAGACUUCAAGUCACGAUAAUUUAUAAGGAAUCGCAUCACCCCACAAUCAACCUUAUCGAGAGCCCCUUGUUGAAGCUGUAUCUACCCGUAAAAACGGGUUAUACGAGCAAAGGUCAGCAUCCGACGUGCAAGUAUAUAAAGACACCCAUUCCAACCCUCCACCAUCUUUCAUUAGUCCAUUCCUGCCACAGCCCCUUUGCCAAGCCUGACGGACAGGGAGGGCGACUGUAUGGUACGUGGACGAUGGAGAGAGGUAUGGUGCAUUCGGAGUUGUCGAUCCCAAACGGUGUCUUAGAAUGGGCCGUGAGUGAUUAUCAUGACUUGUGCGAGUUCGAUAUGAGUACAGUAUGUACCCGUAUGUCACCAAACCUGCCCCAUCAUCGUCAUAGACAUGCCGAAAAAGUACACCUCGUACACCCUGCAAGUAACAAUGGACUAACGGUAGGCUAAGUAGACACUGACUAAUUCUCAGCGCAACUAUAGAACAAGUACAUACAAGUAGCUACAGUAAGCAGUUAUAGACAAGCUAAGCAAGUACAGCCGCUUGGAUAU